rnacentral:rRNA from 1 species
AAACAAGUCAAGCGACUAAGGGCUAACGGUGGAUACCUAGGCACAUAGAGGCGAUGAAGGACGUGGCGACCGACGAAACACUCCGGGGAGCUGGAAGCAAGCAUUGAGCCGGAGAUAUCCGAAUGGGGCAACCCCAAGGACUCAUUUUAGAGUAGCAAACUCAGCGAACUGAAACAUCUUAGUAGCUGAAGGAAGAGAAAGUAAAAACGAUUCCCCCAGUAGCGGCGAGCGAAGCGGGAACAGCCCAAACCAAGAAGUUUACUUCUUGGGGUAGCGGGACAGUCACCAGCGUACAGAGAAACUAGACAAAGCAGUUGAAAGCUGCACCAGAGAAGGUGAAAGUCCUGUAGUCAAAAGUAACAAAGGCGCGACUGAAUCCCAAGUAGCACGGAGCACGUGAAAUUCCGUGUGAAUCAGCGAGGCCCACCUCGUAAGGCUAAAUACUCCUAUGUGACCGAUAGUGAACCAGUACCGCGAGGGAAAGGUGAAAAGAACCCCGAGAGGGGAGUGAAAUAGAACAUGAAACCGUUAGCCUACAAGCAAAGGAAGGACGAUUGAACGUCUAACCUUGUGCCUGUUGAAGAAUGAGCCGGCGACUGAUAGGUUGUGGCGGGUUAAGGUGGAAAGCCGGAGCCAAAGCGAAAGCGAGUCUGAAAAGGGCGAAAGUCACAAUUUAUCGACCCGAACCCGGGUGAUCUAACCAUGUCCAGGAUGAAGCUUGGGUAACACCAAGUGAAGGUCCGAACCGACUGAUGUUGAAAAAUCAGCGGAUGAGGUGUGGUUAGGGGUGAAAUGCCAAUCGAACCCGGAGCUAGCUGGUUCUCCCCGAAAUGUGUUGAGGCGCAGCGGUAGGCAAUAUUCUAUGGGGGUAAAGCACUGUUUCGGUGCGGGCUGCUCACGCGGUACCAAAUCGAGACAAACUCAGAAUACCAUAGAAAGUACUACCAGUAAGACAGUGAGGGAUAAGCUUCAUUGUCAAGAGGGAAACAGCCCAGACCACCAGCUAAGGUCCCCAAAUAAUAGCUAAGUGAUUAAGGAGGUGGGAGUGCCCAGACAACCAGGAGGUUUGCCUAGAAGCAGCCAUCCUUGAAAGAGUGCGUAAUAGCUCACUGGUCAAGCGCUCCUGCGCCGAAAAUGAAUGGGACUAAGUUAUUUACCGAAGCUGUGGGAUUGAUCUAUCGAUUAAUCGGUAGGGGAGCGUUCUGUUGUAGGGAGAAGCUCUAGCGGUAAGCAGGAGUGGACGAAGCAGAAGUGAGAAUGUCGGCUUGAGUAGCGCAAAUAUGUGUGAGAAUCACAUACCCCGAAACCCUAAGGGUUCCACCGCAAGGCUCGUCCGCGGUGGGUCAGUCAGGACCUAAGGCAAAGCCGAAGGGCGUAGUCGAUGGACAACGGGUCAACAUUCCCGUACCGUGAUUAGUUGGUGCAGGAGGACGGAGAAGGCAAUCGCCAGCUGGAGAAUGGAAGUUCCAGUGCAAACUAGCGAGGUUAUGAGAGGUAGAGAAACUACCUUGAGCUGAGCAGUGAAUCCGGCUUACCACGGUAAGUCAGUGGUAGAUGUCAAGCUUCCAAGAAAAGCCCUAAACACCAUAAACUAAUGAUGCCUGUACCCGAAACCGACACAGGUGGGGUGGUAGAGAAUACCGAGGGGCGCGAGAUAACUCUCUCUAAGGAACUCGGCAAAAUGACCCCGUAACUUCGGGAGAAGGGGUACCUACGCGAGUAGGUCACAGUAAAGAGGCCCAGGCGACUGUUUACCAAAAACACAGGUCUCCGCCAAGUCGUAAGACGCAGUAUGGGGGCUGACGCCUGCCCAGUGCCGGAAGGUUAAGGAAGUUGGUCAGCGAAAGUGAAGCUGACGACCGAAGCCCCGGUGAACGGCGGCCGUAACUAUAACGGUCCUAAGGUAGCGAAAUUCCUUGUCGGGUAAGUUCCGACCCGCACGAAAGGCGUAACGAUCUGGGCGCUGUCUCGGAGAGAGGCUCGGCGAAAUAGGAUUGUCUGUGAAGAUACGGACUACCUGCACUUGGACAGAAAGACCCUAUGAAGCUUUACUGUAGCCUGGAAUUGGCUUCGGGCGGUGCUUGCGCAGGAUAGGUGGGAGGCUAAGAGAUACCCCUUGUGGGGGGUAAGGAGCCAACGGUGAGAUACCACUCUGGCACGGCUAGGAUUCUAACCUGUAACUGAAAAGCAGUACAGGAACAGUUUCAGGUGGGCAGUUUGACUGGGGCGGUCGCCUCCUAAAAGGUAACGGAGGCGCGCAAAGGUUCCCUCGGGCUGGUUGGAAACCAGCCGUAAGAGUGUAAAGGCAGAAGGGAGCUUGACUGCAAGACGGACAAGUCGAGCAGGGACGAAAGUCGGCCUUAGUGAUCCGACGGCACUGAGUGGCAGGGCCGUCGCUCAACGGAUAAAAGUUACUCUAGGGAUAACAGGCUGAUCUCCCCCAAGAGUCCACAUCGACGGGGAGGUUUGGCACCUCGAUGUCGGCUCAUCGCAACCUGGGGCGGAAGUACGUC